rnacentral:rRNA from 1 species
GGUUAAGCGACUAAGCGUACACGGUGGAUGCCCUGGCAGUCAGAGGCGAUGAAGGACGUGCUAAUCUGCGAUAAGCGUCGGUAAGGUGAUAUGAACCGUUAUAACCGGCGAUUUCCGAAUGGGGAAACCCAGUGUGAUUCGUCACACUAUCAUUAACUGAAUCCAUAGGUUAAUGAGGCGAACCGGGGGAACUGAAACAUCUAAGUACCCCGAGGAAAAGAAAUCAACCGAGAUUCCCCCAGUAGCGGCGAGCGAACGGGGAGCAGCCCAGAGCCUGAAUCAGUGUGUGUGUUAGUGGAAGCGUCUGGAAAGGCGUGCGAUACAGGGUGACAGCCCCGUACACAAAAAUGCACAUGCUGUGAGCUCGAUGAGUAGGGCGGGACACGUGGUAUCCUGUCUGAAUAUGGGGGGACCAUCCUCCAAGGCUAAAUACUCCUGACUGACCGAUAGUGAACCAGUACCGUGAGGGAAAGGCGAAAAGAAC